CCCAUGCAGUUGGAUGUGGAGUGGCUGAGGCUGAGGCGCCAUGGUGAUCGCAAUGAGUCUGUGAAGACAGACAUCUGCUCUGAGUCACCCAGCAGCAAUACCAACCACACCUUUAGCCUGAAGAGCCAGCUCAGCAUCCAGGGGAACCGGACCCUGAAUCAUGGGGCCACGUACAUCUGCCAGGUCAAGCACAGGGCCCUCAACGAGAGCCGGGCAGUCCGUGUGCAUGUACUUGAAACCCCUGUUGUAUUGAUAGCAUCAACAGUGGCCUUCAGUGUCUUGGCAGUGGGUCUGCUAACAGGAGCUGCUUGGAUUGUGUACCAAUACUUUCAUACAGUGCCACCCAGUGUGUCUGACAUCUGCAGUCCCUCCGUCAUCUAUGCAAACACCCGCGCGGAUCUGAAGUGCACCAUCCGCAGGGUGAAGCCCACACGUGUGGACGUGCAGUGGUACAGGGUGCUGUCUAGCCAUGGCACAGCGACACAUGGGUCACCACCACCAGGAGUGGCACUUGUUUCACAUGACGAGGGAGAGGCACUGUGUACAGAGAACCUAACCAAGCACGCUCAGCUGCACUCUGUCGACAACACCCAGCUGCUGUCCACGCUGCCCCUCUCGCCACAGGUCAGUGACGACGGUGGCAGGUACAGGUGUGUGGUGACCUACAAAGGACACACCUACAUCAAGGAGGCGACGCUGAGUGUUAAAACUCAGCCGUCCUUCCUGCAGAUCUCCAGUGUUCCUCAGGUGCCAGUGCUGGGCCAGAGGCUGGUGCUGUGCUGCCGCGUGGAGCGCUUCUACCCGGCCCAGGUGUGCCUGGAGUGGCUGGGCCCCGGUGGCGAGAUGCUGGGCCCGGUGGUGCAGUACGGCCCCUUUCCUGACUACCAGGGCCUGCAUAGCGUGUGGAGUACGUCCCAGCUGACCAUGACUGCCGUGGAGGACGGCCUGGUGUACAGGUGCAGGGUGUACCACUGCAGCUUCGCUGAGCCAGGAUACCGGGACCUUACCUACCAAGUGAACCUGAAAGGCACUCCCCCGGCAGUGAAGUUCAUUAAGUGUGAGCCCAGCCAGCCUCAGCUGGGGCAGGAGUUCACCCUGAGCCUCUGCGUGGAGAACUUCAGCCCGGACGCGCUCUCCGUGGCCUGGUUCAGGCAGCCGCAGGGGGAGCCCAUCCUCACCGGGGUCUUCACCUCUCCCCCCAGCCUCAACCCCAGCGGCCUGUUCACCCAGUGGGCCUUCCUCAGGCUCAAGCCCACCCCGCAGGACCUGGGCACAGUCUUCAUGUGCCGGGUGGGGCACAGCGCUUUAGCUGAGCCGGAGGAGAGGAGCUACACCUUAGCAGACUUAACUCUGGAGUGAAGUCAUGGCCGACCGUUAUGGACAAGCAGUUAGGGUGCUGCUGGGCUUGAACCCUGAGUGUUGAUGGUUAGCUUUCUCUGCCCCAGUGCACUGAACAUGGUACCGUGCCCCUACACUGGUCCCCAUUUGGGCCGCUCAUUGGGCUGCCCUUUUGCAUUGGAGAGGCAUAAAAGAAACUUAAUUGUGUGCACACUAUGUCCUGUUUGUAGCAUACUGUGUCACAGUAACAGUGCGGCUUGCCCAGGGGGACCUUCAAUUUCACAUCAAGAUUAACAACACCUGGACUUCAACCUGAUGUUACCAGACAGCAAAAGAAAUGUGAAAAAAGAAACAUCACUGUUGAACAUUUUCAGCUGACUCUAAAGACUGCAUUACUAGACUGGGGCCACAGACCAUACGCUUUUAAAAUGGAGCCAUUAUAAGCUUUGUUCAUAUUGCACUUUUGAUAUCUAGUAGGAGGCACUUGAAAUACUAUGAAAUAGAUGAAGUUAUAGUGUUGUAAUAGAGAAUGUAUAAUCAUAAAUGAUAUGAGGUUAAUAAACUGGGGCAUCCAUGGACUAAUGGUAAGAGAGUGUGUCCUAAGAUUCAAAAGUUGCAGGUUCGAGUCCUGUGGAGUUAGGAAGAAUGUAAGUGGUCUAUAUCCUAAUCCUCGGCUGAAAUGCCCUUGAGGAAGGCAGCUAACCCCAAAUUACUCGAGGGACUGUAGCCAACACCCGGAUAACUGUAAGUUGCCUUUGAUGAGACUGUCUGCAGGCACAGUCCAGGAUUAAACAUGUAAGCACACAGUGUAGUUGAGGACUCAUCCUAAAGGUAUUGAUGCAAAGGACAAUUUUUGAGCAAUGUUGCUGCAUGGGCAACAGCAGAAUUGGCUCCUAAUUGGCUGAUUGAACAAUUAAAAAACAGCUGUUUGCUGCCUAUUGAAGUUCUCUUGAUAAAAGUGUUACUAUAUACAUAGUGAUAAACAACCCAAGCAAGAUCCAUAUUGCAUCGUUGCCCAGGCACAUUGCUCAAACACUUGCCCUGUGCAUCAUUACCUUUAGAGCCACCAUGGGGAGCUUUUGGGCUUAUUCUAGGCCACGGUUAUGCCGAGCUGAUUAGAGGCGAGUUCAAAGGCCAAGUUGGUGGUGAGGUGUUGCAGCAAAGCCUUCAGAUCACACGCACAGGUCUCGGGGGCAGCUUAUCGAGCUGCUUCAUCUGUAAAGGGUGGGCUUGUGGAAUCCUGAAGGGAUGGAAGCACCGCUAACAAUUGCUACGUUAACAUGACGUUAUUAAUUCAGAAUUAAUAAUUCAGAAUUAAAUACUUCUGACGAGUUUACGUUGAUCUUUCAUUUAAUUCCGAAUUGUGAAGUGCUUAAAUGACGUUUUCAAAGCGGAAUUAACCUUUAUUCAGAAUUAAAGUGAGUUGAUUCGGAAUGAAGUGUCUCAUGUAAACGUAGUGAAUAAUAAUACAAAAGAGGUUUAGUCCUUAACAUGUUGUGCACUUGAAUUAAAAAGAAAAGCAUCCCAUCUGUGCUGCUCCGGUAUCUUCUCUUCGUUCAAGUGAAUAAUAAGAAUUGGCAAUUUGUUGGACAAUGUUAAAGGCAUUGGUGUUCACUAGUGAAAGACAUCCACACAGAAACUGUGCAGAGACAGCUUGGUGUAGUACUGAUUUUGUGUUAAUUUAUAAUAAUAUAUCACCAUGAUGUACUUGU